rnacentral:rRNA from 1 species
GAUGAACGCUGGCGGCGUGCCUAAUACAUGCAAGUCGAGCGAACAGACGAGGAGCUUGCUCCUCUGACGUUAGCGGCGGACGGGUGAGUAACACGUGGAUAACCUACCUAUAAGACUGGGAUAACUUCGGGAAACCGGAGCUAAUACCGGAUAAUAUAUUGAACCGCAUGGUUCAAUAGUGAAAGACGGUUUUGUUGUCACUUAUAGAUGGAUCCGCGCCGCAUUAGCUAGUUGGUAAGGUAACGGCUUACCAAGGCAACGAUGCGUAGCCGACCUGAGAGGGUGAUCGGCCACACUGGAACUGAGACACGGUCCAGACUCCUACGGGAGGCAGCAGUAGGGAAUCUUCCGCAAAGGGCGAAAGCCUGACGGAGCAACGCCGCGUGAGUGAUGAAGGUCUUCGGAUCGUAAAACUCUGUUAUUAGGGAAGAACAAAUGUGUAAGUAACUAUGCACGUCUUGACGGUACCUAAUCAGAAAGCCACGGCUAACUACGUG